GUAGGUGGCAAGCGUUGUCCGGAAUUAUGGGCGUAAAGCGCGCGCAGGCGGUUCUUUAAGUCUGAUGUGAAAGCCCACGGGCUCAACCGUGGAGGGUCAUUGGAAACUGGAGAACUUGAGUACAGAAGAGGAAAGCGGAAUUCCACGUGUAGCGGUGAAAUGCGUAGAGAUGUGGAGGAACACCAGUGGCGAAGGCGGCUUUCUGGUCUGUAACUGACGCUGAGGCGCGAAAGCGUGGGGAGCAAACAGGAUUAGAUACCCUGGUAGUCCACGCCGUAAACGAUGAGUGCUAAGUGUUAGGGGGGUUUCCGCCCCUUAGUGCUGCAGCUAACGCAUUAAGCACUCCGCCUGGGGAGUACGGCCGCAAGGCUG
rnacentral:rRNA from 1 species